GAUGAACGCUGGCGGCGUGCUUAACACAUGCAAGUCGAACGAUGAAAGCGGGAGCUUGCUCCUGCUGGAUUAGUGGCGAACGGGUGAGUAACACGUGAGUAACCUGCCCUUGACUCUGGGAUAAGCGUUGGAAACGACGUCUAAUACCGGAUACGACCUUCGGAGGCAUCUCCUGGGGGUGGAAAGAAUUUCGGUCAAGGAUGGACUCGCGGCCUAUCAGCUAGUUGGGGAGGUAAUGGCUCACCAAGGCGACGACGGGUAGCCGGCCUGAGAGGGUGACCGGCCACACUGGGACUGAGACACGGCCCAGACUCCUACGGGAGGCAGCAGUGGGGAAUAUUGCACAAUGGGCGAAAGCCUGAUGCAGCAACGCCGCGUGAGGGACGACGGCCUUCGGGUUGUAAACCUCUUUUAGUAGGGAAGAAGCGAAAGUGACGGUACCUGCAGAAAAAGCACCGGCUAACUACGUGCCAGCCGCCGCCGUAA
rnacentral:rRNA from 1 species